rnacentral:sRNA from 1 species
UUGAUUUAUUGGAGAUUGUAGAGGUUUGAUGCAUCUCUCAAGCA